CCUACGGGAGGCAGCAGUGGGGAAUAUUGGACAAUGGGGGCAACCCUGAUCCAGCAAUACCGCGUGUGUGAAGAAGGCCUGCGGGUUGUAAAGCACUUUCAAUUGUGAAGAAAAGAUUCAGGUUAAUAACCUGAGUCCUUGACGUUAACUUUAGAAGAAGCACCG
rnacentral:rRNA from 1 species